rnacentral:tRNA from 1 species
GGGUCGUUAGCUCAGUCGGUAGAGCAUCUGACUUUUAAUCAGGUGGUCGAGCGUUCGAAUCGCUCACGACCCACCA